GUAAAAAAGCGCAGUGGACAGAGCAGAUUGAAAUAUUGCUUUCUACAUGUUUAUGCCCGUCUAUACAGGUGAGUGCAUUGGCCAGUAUUGACAUUUUACUCACAGAGGUUUUAUUGUAGCCUA